rnacentral:rRNA from 1 species
GAACCUUACCAGGGUUUGACAUAGUGUUAAUUCUUUGAAAGAAGAAGUGCUUCGGCAGACACAUACAGGUGGUGCAUGGCUGUCGUCAGCUCGUGUCGUGAGAUGUUGGGUUAAUUCCCGCAACGAGCGCAACCCUUGUUCACUGUUGCCAGCACGUUAUGGUGGGGACUCAGUGGAGACCGCCGGGGUCAACUCGGAGGAAGGUGGGGAUGACGUCAAGUCAUCAUGCCCCUUAUGUCCAGGGCUUCACGCAUGCUACAAUGGCUGGUACAGAGAGUGGCGAGCCUGUGAGGGUGAGCGAAUCUCGGAAAGCCGGUCUCAGUUCGGAUUGGGGUCUGCAACUCGACCUCAUGAAGUCGGAGUCGCUAGUAAUCGCAGAUCAGCAACGCUGCGGUGAAUACGUUCCCGGGGCUUGUACACACCGCCCGUCAAGUCAUGAAAGUUGGUAACACCCGAAGCCGGUGGCCUAACCGUUGUGGGGGAGCCGUCGAAGGUGGGACUGGUGAUUAGGACUAAGUCGAAACAAGGUAGCCGUACCGGAAGGUGCGGCUGGAUCACCU